rnacentral:rRNA from 1 species
GACGAACGCUGGCGGCGUGCUUAACACAUGCAAGUCGAACGGAAAGGCCCUGCUUUUGUGGGGUGCUCGAGUGGCGAACGGGUGAGUAACACGUGAGUAACCUGCCCUUGACUUUGGGAUAACUUCAGGAAACUGGGGCUAAUACCGGAUAGGAGCUCCUGCUGCAUGGUGGGGGUUGGAAAGUUUCGGCGGUUGGGGAUGGACUCGCGGCUUAUCAGCUUGUUGGUGGGGUAGUGGCUUACCAAGGCUUUGACGGGUAGCCGGCCUGAGAGGGUGACCGGCCACAUUGGGACUGAGAUACGGCCCAGACUCCUACGGGAGGCAGCAGUGGGGAAUAUUGCACAAUGGGCGGAAGCCUGAUGCAGCAACGCCGCGUGCGGGAUGACGGCCUUUGGGUUGUAAACCGCUUUCGCCUGUGACGAAGCGUGAGGGACGGUAAUGGGUAAAGAAGCACCGGCUAACUACGU